rnacentral:rRNA from 1 species
GACGUAGGGGCCGAGCCGUUGUCCGGAGUUACUGGGCGUAAAGGGCGCGCAGGCGGUUCUCCGCAUCUCUGGUGAAAGCCCCGAGCUUAACUCGGGAGGGUCCAGGGAGAUGGGGGGACUUGAGGCAGGGCGAGGGCGGUGGAAUUCCGGGUGUAGUGGUGAAAUGCGUAGAGCUCCGGAGGAACACCAGUGGCGAAGGCGGCCGCCUGG